rnacentral:rRNA from 1 species
GCACGAGCGCACCCUUGCCAGGAGUUGCCAUCAGGUUAAGCUGGGCACUCUACUGGGACUGUCGGGCGAAAAGCCGGAGGAAGGUGGGGAUGACGUCAAGUCCUCAUGGCCUUUAUGCCCCGGGCUACACACGUGCUACAAUGGGCGGUACAAAGAGCAGCCAACUCGCGAGAGUGAGCGAAUCUCAGAAAACCGUCCACAGUUCGGAUUGCAGUCUGCAACUCGACUGCAUGAAGUUGGAAUCGCUAGUAAUCGCGGAUCAGCACGCCGCGGUGAAUACGUUCCCGGGCCUUGUACACACCGCCCGUCACAUCACGGGAGUGGGCUGUACUAGAAGUCGCUGGGCCAACCUGCUUCGGCAGGAGGUAAGCGCCGACGGUAUGGUUCAUGACUGGGGUGAAGUCGUAACAAGGUAGCUGUAGGAGAACCUGUGGCUGGAUCACCUCCUUU